UGGGGAAUAUUGCACAAUGGGCGCAAGCCUGAUGCAGCCAUGCCGCGUGUAUGAAGAAGGCCUUCGGGUUGUAAAGUACUUUCAGCGGGGAGGAAGGGAGUAAAGUUAAUACCUUUGCUCAUUGACGUUACCCGCAGAAGAAGCACCGGCUAACUCCGUGCCAGCAGCCGCGGUACUACGGAGGGUGCAAGCGUUAAUCGGAAUUACUGGGCGUAAAGCGCACGCAGGCGGUUUGUUAAGUCAGAUGUGAAAUCCUCGGGCUCAACCUGGGAACUGCAUCUGAUACUGGCAAGCUUGAGUCUCGUAGAGGGGGGUAGAAUUCCAGGUGUAGCGGUGAAAUGCGUAGAGAUCUGGAGGAAUACCGGUGGCGAAGGCGGCCCCCUGGACGAAGACUGACGCUCAGGUGCGAAAGCGUGGGGAGCAAACAGG
rnacentral:rRNA from 1 species